AAGCGGAAAAGGGAAAGGCUUAGUGGCGGACGGGUGAGUAACGCGUGGGUAACCUGGCCCAUACAGGGGGAUAACACUUAGAAAUAGGUGCUAAUACCGCAUAACAACAGAAAGCGCAUGCUUUUGUUUGAAAACCAAGGUGGUAUGGGAUGGACCCGCGUCUGAUUAGCUGGUUGGCGGGGUAAAGGCCCACCAAGGCGACGAUCAGUAGCCGGCCUGAGAGGGUGGACGGCCACAUUGGGACUGAGACACGGCCCAAACUCCUACGGGAGGCAGCAG
rnacentral:rRNA from 1 species